rnacentral:misc_RNA from 1 species
AAAUGCGAUAAGUAAUGUGAAUUGCAGAAUUCAGUGAAUCAUCGAAUCUUUGAACGCACAUUGCGCCCUCCAGUAUUCUGGCGGGCAUGCCUGUUCGAGCGUCAUUUCAACCCUCAAGCCCCCGGGUUUGGUGUUGGGGAUCGGGCUGCGGUUCUGCCGCGGCCCGGCCCCGAAAUCUAGUGGCGGUCUCGCUGCAGCCUCCAUUGCGUAGUAGCUAACACCUCGCAACUGGAACGCAGCGCGGCCAAGCCGUUAAACCCCCAACUUCUGAAUGUUGACCUCGGAUCAGGUAGGAAUACCCGCUGUACUUAAGC